rnacentral:lncRNA from 1 species
UGCAAUUGGUGAAUUGUCUGAUAAAGGAAGUGGCUUUGCACCACUUGCAUGUCUAUGUUCUAUUUCUUGUUGAGAUGUAGUAAAUAUGGAGUUCUUUUUGGGAUCAGUUUAGUCCUAGUUUAUAUCAGCUGAAUGGAUAUGUUUGACACAAAUAUUUGACUUUGGGAUUGUAAACUUGAGCUAGUAAGGGUAGCUCGGUGCACAAAGUAUCCCGCAUUUAUGUAAAAUUCGGGGAAGGACCGCACCCCAAGGGGUGUUGUAGACAGUCUACCCUAAUGCAAGUAUUAUUAGCUGUGGAAUGCAAGUAUUAUUAGUUGCUUCCAUCGUAACCUAGAUCACACAAAGACAACUUUACCGUUGCUCCUAGGCUCCUCUUCAAAACUUGAGCUAGUACUUUCUUGAAUAGAUUUUAGUUGCAUACACUGACAGUGUAAGGUUAUACACUACUCUCACUGAAGUUUAGCCUAUUAUGUCAUGUUAGCAGAUUACCGACUAAUGUUUAUCGUAUAGUUCUAUUUGUAAUUAUCUUAUAAAUGACUUAAUUGUGGAAAUAUUUAUGUACGAGUGCAUAAGGGACUAAUUUACAAGUAUAAAAGGUCCAAAAGGAGACUGAGAACUUUUGCACUUGCUCUAAGUACAUGUUGCUCCAUCAUUUUUCAAAAAUUGUAUAAUGAAAAUUAUUUCACAUUUCUCUCAAGUGAUUGUGUGGCUUAAUCGAGUUUGUAUGUUGAAAAAGUAUAGAUACUGCAUGUAGACUUCCAAAAUUAUUUAGCAGAUUAUGGUCUUGCUGAAUUGAGUAAUUUAUGAGUUUCCUUUGAAAUUAACUGACAACCAUGUGUUUGAAAUUUGGUAUUGGGACAAUAUUUCUAGAAGUUUCUUGAGUCGCGGGUCUAUUGAAAACAGCCUCUCUAUCCCUAUAAGGUAGGGGUAAAGUCUGCGUACACACUACCCUCUCAGACCCCAUUUAUGGAAUUGCACUGGGUUUGUUGUUGUUGUUGGACAACAUCUCUAGAAAUUAGUAUCUUCAUCUUUGUGUUUCUUUAUUGGUAUAUUUUAUUUGUUUGUUUUAGUAGUAAUUGACUAUUAGCUGUGACUAUUGGGAGGGGUAAAUGGUGUUACUGUAGCUUGUGAUAGUAAAGUUGCUUAUUGUAAAAUCCCACAAGUGGGGUCUGGGGAGGGUAGUGUUUACGCAGACCUUACUCCUACCCCGAAGGAGUAGAAAGGCUGUUUCCGGAAGACUCUCGGCUCAAGAUAAUAAAAAGACACUAUGUUAGAUAUAGGCAUUUUGUGAGGACUUGGUGCAAUUUGUAUAGCAUCUUGGUGGAGGAAAUAGUGUUCGAACACUAUAUUUGAACAUGGUAGGAUGGUAACAACAACAACAACAAACCCAGUGUAAUCCCACAAGUAGGGUCUGGGAAAGGUAGUGUGUACUCACACCUUACCCUACCUUUAAGAACACUAUAUUUGGACGUGGUGUGAUGGUACAUCUAUAAAUUUCUAGUUGGGAAGUCCUUUAUGCCUAACUCAAUUUUCUUUAAUUUGACAGAGAAUUAACAACUAUGAGAUCUAGCAUUGUUUUCUCGCAACAAAAUUAAGGAAUUAAAAACACUUCGAAUAUAGGAAGCAGCUCAAGUGGGAUAUUUGUUAUACGUUUGAGUGUUAGAGGCUGUGAAUUCUAAUAAUGUUCUUCAGUACACAAUUUCUAUUGCGUUCUUUGCUAGUUGGACUUGGAUAAGUAUUCUCACUAGGUUAGCAAGAAUUUUGUAUUGCCAGAAAAAAAUGUUGAAUACUCUAUUAUAACGAUAUAAUUUUUCCCCUAUUGUUAUUGUUCAGAGACGAUUUACAUAACGGACCCCCAACUUAUUUUGGAUUGAGGCGCAGUUGUUGCAGUUUGCUGUUCUCCCCGCCCUAAUGUUAUUGGUAACUGAGCAGCUCUUGCUUGUACAUUGCAGUAUCUAAAGAUGAACUAUAGGCAUGCGAAGCAUUUCAUAUUAAUGAUAUAAUGAAAGGCAGCCCGAGCAAAGUGCACGAGGUUAUGCUGGCUUUAUGGAGGAAUUUUUGGUACGGUAAAGCUCAACCCCCCACCCCCCACCCACAAGAAGCUUAGCCAUGAUCCUUUUCUGCUUUGUUCCCUCAUUAAUACGAAUAUCGCUAGCUAGACUUUUACUCCCUUCUCGGCUUGUCUUUUAGACUUAUUGUGCAAAGAUUCAUGAUUUGAUCUUCUAACGUUUAGGUAGUAGUAGAGAAACUUCAAUUUAAUUAGCUCGUACUUGAAUUAGAAUUAUUAUCUUCUCUUUUGUCUAUGUGACAUUUAUCUGGAACUUGAAAUGUAAGUUUACUCCAUUUUACUGGAUUUCCAGAAACGUCUCUUGCAGUUCAUUUGAUAUACAAGAGUACAAUGCUUGAUAGCAUGAUGAUUCAUUUAGGGGUCGUUUGGUUGGGAAACAAGUUACCCCAGGAUUAAUUUUCCCGAGAUUGUUCUCCCACCCUCUUGAAGGGAAAAAUAUAUCUCAAAUUUAAUCCCGUCCCUUAUCCCUUGUACCAAACAAGCCCUUAGUUUCUUAAUUUCACUUAGGUGAAUCUAAUGAGAUGAUAAAUAUUUGACCACUUGUUGUCAAAGCCAGUGUAACAUUGAGAUGACUUGCAUUUUUAUUAUAAAUUGUUCUGUUAAUCCAUCAGUCAGCUAAACCUCACCCUUAGAAUAGCUAGUUGGUGGCACGUAUACAAAUCUUGGAUAUUGUUAAGAAAAUAGAACUUGGGUCUAAUUCAACUCCAAAAGUUAGCUCAGGAGGUGAGAUUGACCCAAUUAGAGCGCCAAUUGAUGUGGGCUGCUAUAAAAUCCCCUUGCACCCUAAUACAUGGAUAUUAGAGCGUGGUUAUAAUAUAGGGCACAAACAUUAGGAAACACAUCAACUGGACUGAGGCAUAGUUGUUGUUGUAGCUGUUCUCCUGUGCCUAAUGUUAUUGGUAACCAAGCAGCUCUUGCUUGUACAAUGCAGAAUCUAAAGAUGAACUAUUGGCAUGCCAAGCAUUUCAUAUUAAUGAUAAGAAGAAAAGCAGCCAGAGCAAAACGCACGAGGUUAUGCUGGCUUUAGGAGGAAUUUUUCGAUACGCUAAACCUCACUCGAUUUCUCCCCCUAAAUCCCUUACCUAGAAUAUUAGCGGUGACCCUUUUCUGCUUUGUUCCCUCGUUGAUAUGGAUGCUGCUAGGUUUUUCUCCCUUCUCGGCUUGUCUUUUAGGCUUGUUGUGCAAAGAUUCAUGAAUUGAUCUUCUAACAUUUAGGUAAUAGUAGAGCAAUUUCAAUUUAAUUAGCUCUUACUUGAAUUAGAAUUAUUAUCUUCUCUUUUGUCCAUGCGACAUUUUUCUGGAACUUGAAAUGUAAGUUUACACCAUUUCACUUGAUUUUAGAACUUGUCAUCAUGCAUUGCUAAAAUCUCUCCGCUCUAGCUAUUCAUACUUCUAGCAACGUCUCUCUUGCAGUUCAUUGAUGUACCAAGAUUACAAUGCUUGAUAGCAUGAUGAUUCGUUUAAUUUCUUAAUUUCACUUGGGUGAAUCUGAUGAGAUGAUAAAUGUCUGACCACUUGUUGUCAAGACCAGUGUAACAUUGAUGCGACUUGCAAAUUUUUGUAUAAAUUGUUAUGUUAAUCCAUCAAUCAAUUAAACGUCACCCCUAGAAUAGCUAGUUGGUGGCAUCUAUACAAAUCUUGGAUAUUGUUCGGUCUAGUUUAACCCCAAAUUAAGUUAGCUCAUGAGGUGAGAUUUACUUGAUUAGAUCAUAUAAGGAGACAAUAUCCCCUCCGUCGACCGAUGUGGAACAUGACGCUCAGACAUGGAUUAAUUAGAGUGUGGUUAAUAUAGGGCACAAACAUUAGGAAACACAUCAAGGGAUGGGCCUGGUGCUAAUACCAUGUUAAGAAAAUUGACCUUUAGUAUAUUGCAACUUCAAAAAGAUAGCUAAUGAGAUGAGAAUUGUCCAAAACUAUACGAGGAGACAACUCCUCAUUUCUUCAACCAAUGUGUGAUACUCUUAACAUAUAUCAAUAAAAUGAUAUUUGAUUAAUUAACAAAAAAAGUGGAAGGGAGCCUUGGCGUAACGGGUAUAGUUGCUGCCGUGUGACCUCGAGCCGUAGAAACAGCCUCUUGUAGAAAAUAUAGGGUAAGGCUGCGUACAAUAGACCAUUGUGGCCCGGUCCUUUACUGGACUCCCUGCACAACGAGAGCUUAGUGCACUGGGCUGCCCUUUUAACGAAAAAACUACUGUCGAUUUACUAACUUCAACUCUUGGAUUCCAAGAUUGUCUUCUCCAGUUGUUUCUAUUCCUUUUUUUUCUCCUCUAAAUUAUGCUCUACUUUUUACUGCUCUAGGAAGAUGCUGGCUACCCAUUUCCUUGGCUGAGCUUGGAGUUCUGUAAGCUGUAAGUUUGUUAAGCUUCAUUUACAAAGUUGUUACAGGAGUAUGCGUAAUUUAACAUUUAUCUGAAGUGACAAUUUUUAUCCAAAUAGCAUAAUAAAUUAAACUGCAAGAUAAGGCAUGUAAAGUUAUAUUGAAUAUAUAGUUAUAUUUAGUCCUUCAAAAUGCCAACUAAGGGCAGUCCGGUGUACUAAGCUCCCGCUAUGCGUGGGGUCCGGGUAAGGGUCGGACCACAAGGGUCUAUCGUACGCAGCCUUACCCUGCAUUUUUGCAAGAGGCUAUUUUCACGGCUCGAACCCGUGACCUCCUUCAAAAUGCCAAUUGUUUACUAAUAUUUGGCCAAAAGAUAAUACUCCUAUAAGUUUAUGCAAUCUCAUAAAUGAAAAACUUUUUUCUAUUCAAUACACUGUGUUCAUGAUUAAAUCUUCAGCCAACUGUUUCUAAUUCAUGUCUUGGUGCUUCCCAAUGGAGCUUUUUUGUAUUUUUUUUGAAUAUAUUUUUACGUCAUUGCCAUCGUUUCCUUAUCACAUGGUUCUAAAGCUUCUAGUAUUUUAAAGAAUUGGAUAAGCAAAACAUAAAACCAGUAAAAUGAUCAGCUGAUGAUAGGAUUGAAUGUACUAUAUAUUACGUGAUGGUAGUUUCUUCACUUCCUAGCAAAAUUGUGAAUUCAUAAUCUUUAUCUGAUUGUCUAAAAGCUAUUUCCAGUAAAGAAUAAAAUGCAUAAAAUAAUGGAAAAGAUUAAUAAUAGGCAUGCUGUGUAACCUUUGGAAGAACAUAUGCAGUGCAAAGUAUGGAGGAAAGUCAUCCUCCGUGGCCAGGGUCUUGUUCUCUAGUAACUCAGAUGUUUCAGCGAUGCUGAGAACCUGUUUCCCUCAUAUCACAUGGCCGUUCAACUGGAAUGAACUAAAACCGAUAGUUGAACAAAUUAAGAACCACACCUCUGUCAUUCAAGUCAUCUGGCAAAGACCUGAAACAAAUUUUGUGAAGGUCAAUAGUGAUGGGAGUGCUUUGAGUAAUCCAGGUAGAAUUGGGUUCGAGUCAUUGAGGGGAAGAGUGGGAAAAACCACUAUCGGUCUCUAGUGAGCGGGUAUACCAAAUCAAAAGGAAAAAAGAAGAAAUAAGUUAUUUGGGCCUUUUGGUGACUGGGGUUUACUAAAUUCCAUAUUGUCGAAAGAAAUAUAGUCCUAUUUCUAGUUUAUGUCAAGUCACUACGUAUAUCAAGUUUGCAAGGUGGGCUAUGUCAAGUCGUAACGUAGUCGAGUUUGGAAGGUGGGCUAUGUCAAGUCGCAACAUAUGUCAAGUUUGCAAGGUGGGCUAUGUCAAGUCGCAACGUAGUCAAGUUUGGAAGGUGGGCUAUGUCAAGUCGCAACGUAUGUCAAGUUUGUAAGGUGGGAUUUACCAAAUGCCAUACAUCGAAAAGAAUAUAGUCCUAUUGCAAGUCGAAAUUUACAAUCUAUACCACUUGGAUAUAUAAUUCAAAGGUCUAGAUUUAAUUUUGUGCAUUGAUUGACUCUUUUGUAGGGAUAAGGCUGGGGUAAGGCUACGUACAUCUCAUCCUCCCUAAACCGCACUUGUGGGAAUACACUGAGUUGUUAUUGUUGUCGUUGUUGUUGUUGUUGAUCGACUCUUUUGUAGUUAUAUUCUAUGACAAUUUGGUUUUAUGUCUUCACGUGGUGGUCUAGAAUGGCUUGGAGCGCUCUAAUGCCAGGCUAGAUGUUAUGAUUGCUUUAUAAGCGAGGUAAAACAUGAUAGAUAAUGGUAAGGAAGGGAUAAAUUAGUCACUUCACUUAUUGGAAGUUUUUUAAUGGUGAUUAGUGUCCAGAAGGGGAAAAAAUAAAGGAGCAGAAGUUUGUUAAUCUUGUGCAUUAAUUAGAGAAUGUGUAUAUAGGUAGUUAAGCUAUUCUUUGUUAAAAUGAUAUUUGCAGGGAUUUGGAUGCUGAAGCGGAGGGAUGAAAAUCAGUGUAACCUUAAUUCAAGUAUGAUUAAGGUAAGUGAUCCAUUCUCCUACAUUGUUACGUUUCGUAUCCCUCUCCCACACUCCACUCACUUAUAAGCAUGGGACUUGUUUAUGCAGAAAAAUCACAUCUUCAAGUGAGUUUCGGAUACCGGAUGCAUUAAAAAAAAAUAUUUUCAUUUUUUCCUAAAAAAGCAUUUAAAAUGAAGUCUAUGUGCGAAAUGGGGCUUAAAUAGCAACUGACUCCGCAUCUGGGGUCCGCGCAACGCCACCUCUAAGACGAGCUUCUGCAACCUGAUAUUCCAAAACCUCUCUCGAACACCCCAAAUCUCACCGAGACCCCCGGAAUCCCGUCCAAUCAUUACAAUAAGUUUGUGUAGUAUACCAUAUACAAACUUGUCCAAGAGCUCAAAACAUAUUCGGAAACUUCACAUCUAAGAGUCAAGAUCCAAACCAAAAUAUAAACUUUCUCUUAAGUUCUUCAAGUUUCAAUUUUCACAAGAUAGACCCGAAUCACAUCCAAGCCCUUCGGUUCACCUCUCAACCAUUCCAACAAGUCCAAGAGAGAUUCAUGAUUGUUCAUGGUUCAUUCUUAGCUCUUCAAUGUAAAAUUAAAAUUUCAAAUUGGAGACCGGUUAAAAGUCUUUUCUGGAACAUUGAUUGCACUAUUAACAGCUUUAGGACCUUGACAGUCCCCAUCUAGACUGCCUAUGUGUUUAACCAAAUUUGCACCAUUUUGAACAUGUCCUGCCCCUCCUUGACAAUUCUGCCCAGAAACAGCAACAACUGCAUCAGCACUAACCUUCAAAGCAACAGCUGGGAGUUUGAGUUUCAAUGAACCUGCUGCAUUACCUACUGAUAUUCCUUGAUUAUCAGUAGUUAAAUCCAACACUUGCACAUCUGCUCGAUCACCAACUUCCUUUCGCCCAGCAGUAGCCACAAAACUUUGUUUUCCUCCUUCAUUUUGCAAAAGUUGCUGAUUUUCUACUGUUAAGAAUUUUUUUGGAGAUGGCGGACCAUUUAGCUGGUUGAAUCAUUUAUCCUGCUUCAUGAGCCACUUGUGUUUCUUAAAAAAAGAAAAGGUCCUUAGCUUCUAGAUUGAUUGUGCUAUUUAAGGAUGAACUAUGUGACUUGAGUGAUCAAUUAAGUUAUGAGAAUAAUCGGUCAUAUAUAUCUGAAUCGCUUGUACCGAAGAACAUGAGUGAUCCAUAAUGAAGAUGGGACUGUUCUUUUGCUACGAAAUAAACGAGUAAUUACUUGCCAGUAGUCAAAAUCAGAUACAAUGGCUCCAAGCAAUUACUUGCUAGCUUUAUGCAUUCUCUUGUUCCUUGUAGCAGCCACCAACAUUGCUUAUGCAAACAACAGUUAUGGAAAUGGACCUAAUUUGCUUGUUCCUAAGCCGCAGUAUGUUCAGUUGUUGGUUAUAAUGUUGUUUUUCGUAAUAGCAUAUUCUGUUGUUGUUUUGGUUCAAUAGCUGUCAGACAUAAUAUUGUUUAGAUGGUGUUGUUUUGGUUCAGUAAUUUGUGCUUGAAGCUGCUUUAAGUACUUUAUGACUCAAUUAUCCUAAAAAUUUUGUUUAAUUAUUUCUCAUUGUCUUUUGCAGGUGCAGUGAUUGCGGAUGAAAGCAGUGACGAAGACUUUACUUGAGUGUUGUUGAUCGUUAUUAGACUUUCUAUUAUUAUGUUUAAGGAUAUUUUAGUUUAGAAUUUUUUGUAUGCAAACUCAUCUAUUUUGACUUUUGAAUUGUUGACCAAACAAACAAUGUAUCCAUAUUUUGU